AUUGAACGCUGGCGGCAGGCCUAACACAUGCAAGUCGAGCGGGGUUUUCGGACCUAGCGGCGGACGGGUGAGUAAUGCGUAGGAAGCUGCCCGAUAGAGGGGGAUACCAGUUGGAAACGACUGUUAAUACCGCAUAAUGUCUACGGACCAAAGUGUGGGACCUUCGGGCCACAUGCUAUCGGAUGCGCCUACGUGGGAGUAGCUCGUGGGUGAGGUGAUGGCUCACCAAGGCGACGAUCUCUAGCUGGUUUGAGAGGAUGUUCAGCCACACUGGAACUGAGACACGGUCCAGACUCCUACGGGAGGCAGCAGUGGGGAAUAUUGGACAAUGGGCGCAAGCCUGAUCCAGCCAUGCCGCGUGUGUGAAGAAGGCCUUCGGGUUGUAAAGCACUUUCAGCGAGGAGGAAGGGGUGUGUGUUAAUAGUACACACCUUUGACGUUACUCGCAGAAGAAGCACCGGCUAACUCUGUGCCAGCCGCCGCCGUAAAAC
rnacentral:rRNA from 1 species